UGAGGAAUUUUGCGCAAUGGGAGCAAUCCUGACGCAGCAACGCCGCGUGGGUGAUGAAGGCCUUCGGGUCGUAAAGCCCUGUCAGGUGGGAAGAAUGUCCCGGGACUGAACAGGUAUUGGGAGUGACGGUACCACCAGAGGAAGCACCGGCUAACUCCGUGCCAGCAGCCGCGGUAAUACGGAGGGUGCAAGCGUUAUUCGGAAUUACUGGGCGUAAAGCGCGUGUAGGCGGUCCUGCAAGUCUGAUGUGAAAGCCCCGGGCUUAACCCGGGAAGUGCAUUGGAAACUGUGGGGC
rnacentral:rRNA from 1 species